UUGUCAGUAAAUAGGAGGCACGUUGUUA
rnacentral:piRNA from 1 species